CCCCGGGCUCAACCUGGGAACUGCGUUNUGAACUGGGUAGCUAGAGUAUGUCAGAGGGGGGUAGAAUUCCACGUGUAGCAGUGAAAUGCGUAGAGAUGUGGAGGAAUACCGAUGGCGAAGGCAGCCCCCUGGGAUAAUACUGACGUUCAUGCUNGAAAGCGUGGGUAGCAAACAGGAUUAGAUACCCUGGUAGUCCACGCCCUAAACGAUGUCGAUUAGCUGUUGGGCAGCUUGACUGCUUAGUAGCGUAGCUAACGCGUGAAAUCGACCGCCUGGGGAGUACGGUCGCAAGAUUAAAACUCAAAGGAAUUGACGGGGACCCGCACAAGCGGUGGAUGAUGUGGAUUAAUUCGAUGCAACGCGAAGAACCUUACCUGGUCUUGACAUGUACGGAACCUUCCAGAGACGGAAGGGUGCCUUCGGGAGCCGUAACACAGGUGCUGCAUGGCUGUCGUCAGCUCGUGUCGUGAGAUGUUGGGUUAAGUCCCGCAACGAGCGCAACCCUUGUCAUUAGUUGCCAUCAUUCAGUUGGGCACUCUAAUGAGACUGCCGGUGACAAACCGGAGGAAGGUGGGGAUGACGUCAAGUCCUCAUGGCCCUUAUGACCAGGGCUUCACACGUCAUACAAUGGUCGGUACAAAGGGUAGCCAAGCCGCGAGGCGGAGCCAAUCUCAUAAAACCGAUCGUAGUCCGGAUUGCACUCUGCAACUCGAGUGCAUGAAGUCGGAAUCGCUAGUAAUCGCAGGUCAGCAUACUGCGGUGAAUACGUUCCCGGGUCUUGUACACACCGCCCGUCACACCAUGGGAGUGGGGGAUACCAGAAGUAGGUAGGGUAACCGCAAGGAGCC
rnacentral:rRNA from 1 species